GGAGAUUUUAAAGCAUUCAUCCAACCACACAGGGUCUGUUAUGAUUCCAACUUCCCCAAGCCCUUAAAGACAGACAGAAGUAAGCUGAGCUGUGCAUGGAACGUGACAUGGGAGCAGUGCAGAGGUUUAUGCACCGGUAAUAUUUGAACAUCAGUCCUUUGCGCUGAGGAAAUAUAAUAUUCAUGUUGAAAUUUUCAGUCUUCAGUUGUAGCCUGAGAAGGAGCUCCUACAAACAUCUUGGUGCCUAAAAAUAAGAAGCAUUACAAGUUUUCUGUGCUAUUUGGAAAUCUAAGACUGUCAAGAGCAGCAGUAAGACCUCUGUAGCCGGUGAGCUAAAGGUACCUACUGAAGUUCUGGAAUCUGAAUAUGGUGAAAAGGAGCAUGGAAACCUCUGCCUACAUAGUAUUCUAGACUGAACAUAACAACUGGAAAUGCUUUCAGACUGUAGACCUGGAAAAUGACAUGAAA
rnacentral:lncRNA from 1 species